rnacentral:rRNA from 1 species
CGUAGGUAACCUGCCUGGUAGCGGGGGAUAACUAUUGGAAACGAUAGCUAAUACCGCAUAAAAUUGAUUAUUUGCAUGAUAGUCAAUUAAAAAGGUGCAAUUGCAUCACUACCAGAUGGACCUGCGUUGUAUUAGCUAGUUGGUGAGGUAAAGGCUCACCAAGGCAACGAUACAUAGCCGACCUGAGAGGGUGAUCGGCCACACUGGGACUGAGACACGGCCCAG